UAGAAGCAGCCACCAUUGAAAGAGUGCGUAAUAGCUCACUGGUCGAGUGACCCCGCGCCGAAAAUGUACCGGGGCUAAACAUAUUACCGAAACUGUGGAUGAACCUCUUUAGAGGUUCGUGGUAGGAGAGCGUUCUAAGGGCGGUGAAGUCAGACCGGAAGGACUGGUGGAGCGCUUAGAAGUGAGAAUGCCGGUAUGAGUAGCGAAAGAAGGGUGAGAAUCCCUUCCACCGAAUAUCUAAGGUUUCCUGAGGAAGGCUCGUCCGCUCAGGGUUAGUCGGGACCUAAGCCGAGGCCGAUAGGCGUAGGCGAUGGACAACAGGUAGAGAUUCCUGUACCAGUGCUAAUUGUUUAACCGAUGGGGUGACACAGAAGGAUAGGGAAUCGCACGAAUGGAAAUGUGCGUCCAAGCAGUGAGUGUGAGAAGUAGGCAAAUCCGCUUCUCGCGAAGCAUGAGCUGUGAUGGGGAAGGAAAUUAAGUACGGAAGUUCCUGAUUUCACGCUGUCAAGAAAAGCCUCUAGGAAGAGUAGUACUGCCCGUACCGCAAACCGACACAGGUAGAUGAGGAGAGAAUCCUAAGGUGAGCGAGAGAACUCUCGUUAAGGAACUCGGCAAAAUGACCCCGUAACUUCGGGAGAAGGGGUGCUCUAUUAGGGUGCAAGCCCGAGAGAGCCGCAGUGAAUAGGCCCAGGCGACUGUUUAGCAAAAACACAGGUCUCUGCAAAACCGUAAGGUGACGUAUAGGGGCUGACGCCUGCCCGGUGCUGGAAGGUUAAGAGGAGUGCUUAGCUUCGGCGAAGGUACGAAUUGAAGCCCCAGUAAACGGCGGCCGUAACUAUAACGGUCCUAAGGUAGCGAAAUUCCUUGUCGGGUAAGUUCCGACCCGCACGAAAGGCGCAACGAUCUGGGCACUGUCUCAACGAGAGACUCGGUGAAAUUAUAGUACCUGUGAAGAUGCAGGUUACCCGCGACAGGACGGAAAGACCCCGUGGAGCUUUACUGCAACCUGAUAUGGAAUGUUUGUACCGCUUGUACAGGAUAGGUAGGAGCCGAAGAGACGUGUGCGCUAGCAUACGAGGAGGCAAUGGUGGGAUACUACCCUGGCUGUAUGACCAUUCUAACCCGCCACGCUUAGCGCGUGGGGAGACAGUGUCAGGUGGGCAGUUUGACUGGGGCGGUCGCCUCCUAAAGAGUAACGGAGGCGCCCAAAGGUUCCCUCAGAAUGGAUGGAAAUCAUUCGCAGAGUGUAAAGGCACAAGGGAGCUUGACUGCGAGACUGACAAGUCGAGCAGGGACGAAAGUCGGGCUUAGUGAUCCGGUGGUUCCGCAUGGAAGGGCCAUCGCUCAACGGAUAAAAGCUACCCCGGGGAUAACAGGCUUAUCUCCCCCAAGAGUCCACAUCGACGGGGAGGUUUGGCACCUCGAUGUCGGCUCGUCGCAUCCUGGGGCUGUAGUCGGUCCCAAGGGUUGGGCUGUUCGCCCAUUAAAGCGGCACGCGAGCUGGGUUCAGAACGUCGUGAGACAGUUCGGUCCCUAUCCGUCGCGGGCGCAGGAAAUUUGAGAGGAGCUGUCCUUAGUACGAGAGGACCGGGAUGGACACACCGCUGGUGUACCAGUUGUUCCGCCAGGAGCAUCGCUGGGUAGCUAUGUGUGGCAGGGAUAAACGCUGAAAGCAUCUAAGCGUGAAGCCCCCCUCAAGAUGAGAUUUCCCAUUUCUUCGGAAAGUAAGAUCCCUGAAAGAUGAUCAGGUAGAUAGGUUUGGAGUGGAAGUGUAGCGAUACAUGGAGCGGACAAAUACUAAUCGAUCGAGGACUUAACCAAAA
rnacentral:rRNA from 1 species